CGUACACUCCUACGGGAGGCAGCAGUGGGGAAUAUUGGACAAUGGGCGCAAGCCUGAUCCAGCCAUGCCGCGUGAGUGAUGAAGGCCCUAGGGUUGUAAAGCUCUUUCACCGGUGAAGAUAAUGACGGUAACCGGAGAAGAAGCCCCGGCUAACUUCGUGCCAGCAGCCGCGGUAAUACGAAGGGGGCUAGCGUUGUUCGGAUUUACUGGGCGUAAAGCGCACGUAGGCGGACUAUUAAGUCAGGGGUGAAAUCCCGGGGCUCAACCCCGGAACUGCCUUUGAUACUGGUAGUCUUGAGUUCGAGAGAGGUGAGUGGAAUUCCGAGUGUAGAGGUGAAAUUCGUAGAUAUUCGGAGGAACACCAGUGGCGAAGGCGGCUCACUGGCUCGAUACUGACGCUGAGGUGCGAAAGCGUGGGGAGCAAACAGGAUUAGAAACCCGGGUAGUCCCAUGAU
rnacentral:rRNA from 1 species